rnacentral:rRNA from 1 species
GUAUGAGAGUACUGUUCAUACGUUGACGGUAUUUAACCAGAAAGUCACGGCUAACUACGUGCCAGCAGCCGCGGUAAUACGUAGGUGGCAAGCGUUAUCCGGAUUUAUUGGGCGUAAAGAGAGUGCAGGCGGUUUUCUAAGUCUGAUGUGAAAGCCUUCGGCUUAACCGGAGAAGUGCAUCGGAAACUGGAUAACUUGAGUGCAGAAGAGGGUAGUGGAACUCCAUGUGUAGCGGUGGAAUGCGUAGAUAUAUGGAAGAACACCAGUGGCGAAGGCGGCUACCUGGUCUGCAACUGACGCUGAGACUCGAAAGCAUGGGUAGCGAACAGGAUUAGAUACCCUGGUAG